GGUCGUUGGUAUGGAACAAAAUUCGUAAUUACGGGUGGUAGGGGUCAGCUGAUUAUUGAAGUUAUGGGUGGUAGGGGUCUGGAAAAAGUGCCGGCCCAGGGGGGGAUGUCUUUUUUUCUGGAACAGCCCUAAAACAAAGUUUCUAACUUGUUAUUAAUAUAUUAUUUUUUUCAUAAAAACUGAAAAUUUUAAUUUAAAAUUGUAUUAAAUUAAAUAUCAUAAGAGUGUAUAUGUUAUCAAGCUUAAGUUGAAUUUAUGGUUAGAAACUUAAAGCAUAAAACCCAAAACCAUGUUGGUAAACUGCCCGUUACUAAAGUAACACUGUAGCAGUUUGAGAUGAGGUAAUGUCUGAGGAGAAGACGUCAGUUUUCGAGGAGGUAGCAGUUUUCGUAGAAGUGGUGGAGGCGAUAAUGGUUUGUGAGAAGGUGGAGGCUGAUAUGGUUGCUAAGGAGGCGGUGAUGGUAGAGGCGGCUGCUGAGGAGGUAGCAGUAGAGACGACUGCUGAGAAUCUGAGAUCUGAAAUAUUUUCAAUUUUAUCUGCACGGUAUGUAAUAUUUUAACAUAAUUCCUCUGAUAUUGAUUAUUAACAUUAAAGAGUAACUGUAGUGCUGCAAUAGUUUUUUUAGUAAAGAAAGAUUGAUAAAUAAAACACCCCAAAAAAGCAAAAAAAAAAUGUUUUUGCAAAAAUACCGAAGUUGUAACCUUUUUACUAGAUUUCACACCUGAGCGCAAAUCUGAAAAUCCCCGAUUUUGACCUACGACCGGAAGUGACGUAGCAGCGGUGACCCAAACACAGGUAAGCUCGGGUAGCCAUUACGAAACACUAUCAAAACAUCUUCGUCAUGUCCGUGAUUUACAAAGAAAACACGCCUGUAUCUCGCUGUGGUCGACGUUGUGUUGCAGGAGGAUGCUCCAAUACUACUAUCAAUGGAGUUUCCAUGCAUAGAGACCUGAUAUUCACCGACAAUGGGUUGCUUUUGUGAGAAGAAAACGCAAAGAUUGGGAGCCGACUCGUCACACAGUGUUGUGCAAUGCCCACUUCGAGGAAGAUUGUUUUCCACUGAAAUUCCGGUUAGGACUGUUGGAAUCAAGUGGAUAGACUGUGAAGAGGACACUAGAAGAAUAUGCCGUCCCUACUAUUUUCAAUACUGCAACGACACCGACCAUGCCGACACCUCGUAGGAAACAAUCCUCAAGCCCCGAGACUGAUUUGACAACACCGAAGACUGUGAAAAGGCCUAGGUCGGCAUCCAACGUUUGAUCAGAGAGUAUGAAGAACGUGAGCCAGAAAAUGCUUCAUGACCACAGGCACCGACACAUAUUGAAGAUGACCUAAGCUCAAGUAUGGAGGUAAAUGUUGUCUCAGAGGAGCCUAAAACUAAGUCUGUAGCUUCACAGAAGAGUUUAAGUCGGCCAUCACAAAGAUCCCACUACACACAAACAAGAUCUAAAGGAAAGGAUAAAGAUUGUUGCUGGCUGCACUGCACUUCAAUGAGAAUGUUUCGAGAGAACAGGCGUCACUUCAAAAUGGUGAAAAGAGAAACAGAAUCACAUUCCCCAAGCAAAAGAAUGGUGACUACACAGUUCGACAAGUGAGAACAGAGUGCACCUUCAAUUAUGUUACAGAUCUGAUGAAAGCAACGAAGGAACGGGUGAAACUUUUACAGAUUCCCAAUUGCGAGGUUGUUGGAGAAUCGCCACCACCACUAUGUAUGAACUUUGUUCACCCAGAGAAGUCCGAAGCUGUUUCUGGACUGAUGUCCAGGUUUAGGCACUAGCCUACAGUUGAGACUUCGGUGUCUUGGAUUAUGAAUCAUGCAUGGAGAUAUGGAGACUACACAUGUUGGACUAUUCAAAGUGCUGGCCCCAGUUGUUUAAAGAUACUUUUUAUCAGUUAGGGAAAACUAUAACCUGAAUACAACAAAAUCAAGAACACCAGAGAUCAUUUUAAUCAUUUUACUUGAUUUUUUGAGAAAAAUAAAUGAUGUGUUGGGAGGAUUAGUUAUAACCACCACUUACAUCUCUAAUAACAUUUGAG